AUCAGAGAACAACGGCGCUCUCCAUCUUCAAAGAAAACCAGAGAACGCACCCUAUUCCUUCAUAGAAGAACGAACACCAUCCCCCUUUUCUUCUCGAUUUCCUCCUCUUCUCAUCUCACUCAUACGCCAAAAGACCUUAGUAGUAACUAAAAAUGCAGAAGUUAGAUCUGAAAGGGCUAAAAACAUGAAGAAAACCUGGGAUUGUUUGCUCCUCACUCGCUGGGUUCUAAGAGAGGGAUUUAAUUCCAAUAUCACUAUUGUUUUUGCUGAAAAUCUGUUGUUUCUAUUUUAGUGAACUCCGAUUAUUUCUUAUCUAGCCUCUAUUUGUAAUCUCCAAGUUGAUUCCAGCAUAAUCAGUUGCUUGGAUUUCGAAAGUGUUAUUGAAUGCUGAAACUUUUGCUGGGUUCCGAUUUGAAGAAUUUCGCUCUUAUUUGGCUUUCGGCAUAUUAUAGCACAUUUCAUGAGUCAAUUUCAGAAACCCUGUCCUAAUUCCUUGUUGGGUGUUGGUGUAUGGGAGUAGAUCUGUCUUCCUGCAUAUUACAGGCACUACGCUUUUAGAUUCCAUCUUCUGCAAUUUUAAGGAAGAAAAGUGGAUAUGCUAGGGAUGGAUCAAGAUGAUUUCAUGUCUUGAUUCUGUUUAUGCAUAUUCAGGAAAAAGACAAAUUUAGAGAAUAGCAUCUGAAUCUGACGCAAAACUGUGCUUUUCUCUCACAUAUAUGCAUUGUCAUUUUCUUUAUUGGAAUGUCAUCAUUUAAAGGAGUGUAAUUACAUAUGGUACUUUGGCACUCUAAAAUGAUAUGUCAAUAUGCUCUGUAAUAAUCUUUGAUUCCACUUUC